GAUGAACGCUGGCAGCAUGCUUAACACAUGCAGUCACUGAUUGUGGCGGACGGGUGAGUAACGCGUAAAGAACUUGCCUCACAUCUAGGGACAAGAUUUGGAAACGAAUGCUAAUACCUAAUACUGUGUGAGAGCUUUGCGUCCCAUUAGCUAGUUGGAGAGGUAACGGCUCACCAAGGCGAUGAUGGGUAGCCGGCCUGAGAGGGUGAUCGGGCACAAGGGGAUGGGGAAACGACCCUUACACAUAAUGGAGGAAGCAGUGGGGACUAUUGGCAAAUGGACCAAAGUAUGAUGCAGCACUUCUGUGUGCAAGAUGAAGUUGUCGGAAUGUAAAGUGCUUUGAGAUGAGAAUCGGUACCAACAGAAGAAGUGCCGGCUAAAUCCGUGCCAGCAGCCGCGGUAAUUC
rnacentral:rRNA from 1 species